rnacentral:rRNA from 1 species
UACGAAGGGGGCUAGCGUUGUUCGGAAUUACUGGGCGUAAAGCGCACGUAGGCGGACAUUUAAGUCAGGGGUGAAAUCCCAGAGCUCAACUCUGGAACUGCCUUUGAUACUGGGUGUCUUGAGUAUGGAAGAGGUGAGUGGAAUUCCGAGUGUAGAGGUGAAAUUCGUAGAUAUUCGGAGGAACACCAGUGGCGAAGGCGGCUCACUGGUCCAUUACUGACGCUGAGGUGCGAAAGCGUGGGGAGCAAACA